CCUACGGGAGGCUGCAGUGGGGAAUCUUGCGCAAUGGACGAAAGUCUGACGCAGCCACGCCGCGUGGAGGAUGACGCAUUACGGUGUGUAAACUCCUUUUCUGGAGGAAGACGACUGACGGUACUCCAGGAAUAAGCGACGGCUAACUACGUGCCAGCAGCCGCGGUAAUACGUAGGUCGCAAGCGUUAUCCGGAUUUACUGGGCGUAAAGCGUCCGCAGCUGGUUUGGUAAGUUCGCUUUUAAAUAUCCUGGCUCAACCAGGAAAAGGGAGCGAAUACUGUCAUACUAGAGUUAGAUAGGGGGUAGUAGAAUUUCAGGUGGAGGGGUGAAAUCCGUUGAUAUCUGAAGGAAUACCAAAAGCGAAGGCAGCUACCUAUAUCUAUACUGACGGUCAUGGACGAAAGUCUGGGUAGCGAACGGGAUUAGAUACCCCAGUAGUC
rnacentral:rRNA from 1 species